CUGUAAAUCGGAUUAGGGCUUAGGGGAGGGAGCUGUUUUAUAUGAAAUUUGUGCACUGAUAGAAUGGACAUUGAAUGCGCAAUAACAGGCAGGACACACUCUUGAGGACAAGGGUGACAAGCAAAACAGAAUGCCAUGUUCCCCAUGUGGGAUGAAGCAGAGUGGAAUGUGAUGCAUUUGAUGCAGACAAACUCUUUUCUUUGGGGUUUUCUGCAUUCGUCUAAAAAAAAAAGUCUGGAGAAAGAGAUUGAGAGUUCUGCAAAGCACACAUACACCUACACUGUACUGUGAGACCCAGACUGACAGCUAUUACAGUGAUGAUCAACAUCGCUGUCAGUUGUCCACUUAAACACUUAGGGGUUGUGUUUCCAUAUGCCGGCUGGUCAUGGUUUCAGAAUGGAGUCAGCAUAUCAUCACAUCUCAGAUAUUGAUAAAAACAACAUGGUGUUUUACCUUGUUGACUUCAUGAAGCCUUCUUCACUCCCUUCGUACUCUCAGCUCUUCCAAAGCUAAUUCUGUUCAAAGACAGAGUGGUGUGGACGGGUGUAAGUGGCCUCUUGUAUAAAUGGACUCUGAGAGGCUAGCUACCUUAGAAAAGUGUUGUAGUUCUUUUACUAUGACCAAAAAAUGUCACCACUGAAAAAACAAGGUUAGGAAUAGAGAAAAGAUCUUCAAGAAAAUGGUCUAUAUUAGACAUAAUUUGAGGACUGCAUUGUGUGCAGAGUCCUGUCAAGCUUCAUUAGUGCUUACAGCAAUGACAUGGCUGUUUAUCUUUGAAUACUCAUUUAAUUAAAGGUAAACGAAUCAAGGAGGGAUGCAUGCUCAUCAGGUAAUGUGUCUACAAAUCCAAAACUCAGAGCAGACAAUUUGUGAUCCAUUUUAAAUAUUGAAAGGAUAAAAAUAUUAGUUUAAUUGUAAAAAAAAAAAAAAAAAA